rnacentral:lncRNA from 12 species
CAUCGAAAAGGGUGCAUCUUCCUAUAAUUUCAACCUGUGCUUGAUUUUAAAAAGCAAACAUUAAAUUUUAUUUUUUUAAGAUUUUGUUUAUUUAUUUAUUUAUUUACUUACUUACUUACUUAUUUACGAGAGAGAGGACACAAGCAGGGGUGGAGGACAGUGAAGGAGGGACAAGCAGACUCUCCACUGAGCAGGAAGGCCAAUGUGGGGCUCCCUCCCAGGACCUGGGAAUCAUGACCUGAGCCAGGGCAGAUGCUUAACCUCCUGAGCCACCCAGGCGCCCCCAAAUGUUACCUUUCAAAUCUGAGUUGGCACAUGACCCUCCUGAGCAGUCACCAUUAAGUUGAAAGAGCUUUAGACCAAAGCAGCGGGGGAGAGAGACAAAGUGCCUGGAGAACCCGUCUGCGUGGCUGAGACAGGAGUAGCCUGCGCUGCGCUCCCAGGGAGGGUGUCACCAGGCUGGGGCGGCACCUGCAGACGCUCGCUCACUGGCAAGAGCAGGUGGAGAGGGACCCUGUCCCCUUCACCGUCACUGCCCCACCCCGCGAUCCCCAACCCGGAGCAGCCACUGUGCCGCUGCAGAUGGGACCCCUCGCCGGCGUCUCCUCUCCCGGAGUGGCCACCGCCCCUGUGUCCCCGCCUGGGUCAGUGGACUCCACCUUGAGCCAUGAGCACCCCAGAGCAGAGAAGCGGAGAACAUCCCCUCCGGGAGCUGCAGAGCGAAUGCACAUCCUGGCCCAAACAGGACAGUAACAGAAGCAUUGGAGCGUCCUGGCCCAGGAGGAGGGCGCACUGCAGAAGCCCCUACCCAUCUUCCUUUCCUCCAGAGCCUCAUGGCUGCUGGGUCUCCCAGCUUUUCUUUCUUUCUGGAGAAGAUUUUGCCUACCCCACCCCCCAUCCAAUGAGAUCACUACUAUGUACUGAGUACUUGUUAUAGGUCUUUCACAGCUUCAGUAUGUUGUUUGUCUAUUUGUUACCUGCUUAUUACCUGCCCCCAAGGUCACCCCACCCUGCCCAGCCUCCAGCGACUUGACCCAGGACUGCUUUCCCAGCUCCUGGAGCAUUGCCUGGCACGGUGUGUGACUCAUGACCAUUUGUUAGAUGGCUUAAUUCUGUAAAGUGCUAUUAUAUUUGUCCAUUUUACCAAUGAAGAAACUGAGAUCCACAAAUGUUAAAUAAAAAACAAUCCAGUUUGCA